rnacentral:tRNA from 1 species
GUAAGUAUGGUUGAAUGGUAAAAUUUCUCUUUUCCAAGGAGAAGAUGUUGGUUCGAUCCUCACUACCCACC